CACAUGUGUGGCACUCAUAUGGCGCUUUUCCACUGCGUGGUACGACUCUGCUCGGCACGGGUCAGUACGGCACGGUUCAGCUCGGCUCGAUUUGCGUUUCCACUGCAGUUUAGUACCACUUUAGAGUGGGCGGGAUUAUUCACAUGUCGUUAUAG